rnacentral:rRNA from 1 species
UACGUAGGAGACGAGCGUUGUCCGGAAUUACUGGGCGUAAAGCGCGUGUAGGCGGAUGAGCAAGUCUGCUGUGAAAGCUCCUGGCUUAACCGGGAGUGGUCGGUGGAAACUGCUCGUCUGGAGGACGGUAGAGGUAGGUAGAAUUCCCGGUGUAGUGGUGAAAUGCGUAGAGAUCGGGAGGAAUACCUGUGGCGAAGGCGGCCUACUGGGCCGGACCUGACGCUGAGACGCGAAGGCGUGGGAGCGAACGGG